rnacentral:rRNA from 1 species
GACGAACGCUGGCGGCGUGCCUAAUACAUGCAAGUUGAGCGCUGAAGGUUGGUACUUGUACCAACUGGAUGAGCAGCGAACGGGUGAGUAACGCGUGGGGAAUCUGCCUUUGAGCGGGGGACAACAUUUGGAAACGAAUGCUAAUACCGCAUAAAAACUUUAAACACAAGUUUUAAGUUUGAAAGAUGCAAUUGCAUCACUCAAAGAUGAUCCCGCGUUGUAUUAGCUAGUUGGUGAGGUAAAGGCUCACCAAGGCGAUGAUACAUAGCCGACCUGAGAGGGUGAUCGGCCACAUUGGGACUGAGACACGGCCCAAACUCCUACGGGAGGCAGCAGUAGGGAAUCUUCGGCAAUGGACGAAAGUCUGACCGAGCAACGCCGCGUGAGUGAAGAAGGGUUUCGGAUCGUAAAACUCUGUUGGUAGGGAAGAACGUUGGUGAGAGUGGAAAGCCCAUCAAGUGACGGUAACUACCCAGAAAGGGACGGCUAACUACGUG